CUACCCACGCCCCUGGCUUUCAGUGCACCACACGGAGGGUAGAAAAAUGAUCUGGACUAAGAGGAGCUGUGGAUUUGGGGGUUGGGUCUAGUCUAUGCUAGUUUCCAGGUCUGGGCUUCCAGAAGAUUGCAGCUUCUGUUUACUCCCAUUUGGGAGUACCAAUAAAGGAUCCUACCCGCCUCGGAUUCAUUACUGAGCCCACGUGAGACAGCAGAGGCUGUCUGGAAGGCACUUAGCUUGUUAUUGUCAUCUCCACCAUCCCCGGGGACACCCUGAGGUGGCAGUGGCUGUUCAUUAGUGGCCAUGUCCCACGACUAUUUCCACAAGCACUUUGGAGAGCCCCUGUUGGCUAGCGUUGUGCCUGGGGCAGGGUGGGGAGGGGACCCACAGAGGCCGGAGGCCAGAACGUCCGCCCUCUAGAAGGUUCCUGAACUUGUCUGGGUACAAACAGAGGCACACAAUGGAUGUGAAGGCAAUGCCAGCUUGGAUGAGUUUGGGAAUCCAACCGCCUGAAAUGGGAUUUCACUGCUAUUGUUGCUUUCAAAUGGGAUGCACGUUGCAGAUUGAACUUCCGUGUGAGUGAAAACCCUUCCUGAGGCCCUUGGAAACAUCUUCCGACUUCCACUGUGUGGACUUGAGUCAACGAAACUACCCUUUACAGGCAAAGGUUCCCAAGAAGACUUAGUAUUAGAAGGUGGUUGGAGAAAGGAAACUCACUCAGAAACCACACGGGCGACAGAGUGACCUUUUACAAAAUAAGAUUUUACAAAAAUUUGAGACCACACACGCCUACCGUCUCUUACUCUGUUAGCAGGUAGUUAAGUACUGCAGGACUCUUAAUUCAGGGUUUGUGUCAAUUCUGCGCCCAGGUGUCCCAGGGCAUGGCAGCGAACUCACAAGAGUGCCACAGAAUAUUUUUAAAAUGUUCAAAGUGAACACAGGGACAUUUGCCAGGUGCCGUGCUAGCAAGUAGUUUGGACCUAAGUACCUAUUAAUGGGGCCAUCAGGUGUAUCUUUUAGCCUGGGGGUACUGCAAAGCAUCACUGAGACACCAAGGGCACCUUGAACCAGGAAUGUUUGACAGCCCUUUACGGGUUCGGGUGGCAUCAUCAUGGGCACCAUCUGACGGACAGAGGGCAGCAUGCCGGCUCACAGACAUCUCUUCUGCGUAUCCCCUGCUCAGGUUUGUCAUUGGCCAGCAACUCUGAACGUGCCAUUGCUGAUUUGUGUCUGUCAAAUGGUUGCAUGUUCGGGACAAGCUUGAUCGUGAUUCAUAGCACCCACCGAUAGUUGGGCCCUACAGGCAGCUGGGAUCCCUCUGCCUUUUGGGCUGAGAAACAGCCAGUUAGCACAGUGGCUAACUGUGUCAAAUGGACACAACAGAGGUUGGCAGAGUUUGCCUUUAAGCCAUCUGAUAACAGAGCCCGCUCCUCCUCCUCCCAGAGCUCGUCACAUUUCUCCUUGCUGCAGGUGCCAGCUGGGAUCUCUGCUCACUACUUCCUCCCUCCCAUCAGCCUUCUCCCGCAGGCCCUCAAGGGGCCUGUCCCCGCUUAGCACCCCUCCCGGGACUGUGCAUUCUGCCUUUCUGGGGCUGCUCUUGACCGUUGCCUUCAACUGCCGUUGGAAUCUUCUCUCGCUAAAAUUCUCAGCAGUUGGUGUCCCGGUUCUGCAGCCAAGUGGGCUGGACUAUCAUGCCUCAAGGACGCGGUCCAGACCUUCAUGUGGGGACCCAGCAGCGAGCAUGCUGGAAAUGCCCAGUGAACUUGUGAUAAAUGAUUCAAUUAUGAACUUAAUUCCCAGCAUGGGUUCUGGACCAGUCAGGGCUGCAUAUGACACCCUCUUGUCACUGCCUGAUGAUGGUUUUCCAGGGGCUCUCUCUGCCUUAGCUGAAGAAAAACUUGAUGUAGUGGCCUUGCCAGGCCCAGCAGAUGAGGUUUUUGGGGCCUGGGAGACUUUGGCCCCCUCGUAUGGCCCCUCUCCUGUCCUCCCUGGGCUCUUGUGUGUGUCUUUCCCAGCAGGCACCCGGCCAAGUGCAUCCAGCUCAGCGAUGGGGCAGGGCUGUAUGGGGAUUUGUGUGCUGAAUUUAAUAACCUUUCUCCCUUCUCAGGGCGACAGAGGAAACCAGUAUCCCCAAGGUGGAGGUGUCCCCUUCCCCUGGGAGCCCUGCCUCCUCACAGGCUGCCAUGCUCUGUUGUCCCUGUGACUCACCAAGUGUGUGCAGAGGCUGGAGGGUGGGCAGGGGCUGGGAGGGGCUGGAGAAGAGGCCGGUCUUGCUUCUGACACUCGAACUCCUCAGAAUUGCCACCCGCCCUGUGUGUCAGCACUGAGAGGGCAUUUUAGAGAUGGACAGAGGCCUGGCCUUUUCCAUUUUUUGAGUACCUUGAAUAUUUGAAAAAAGAAGAAAAAUGCCAGAAUUGGUACAAAAAAUUGUAGGUGGUAUAUUCUAUUUAGAUGCUUAAUAAAAAAAAUGCUGCUAAACACUUAUAAAAAUACAAUGGCUAGGAGGACCCUCAUUUGGAGAGAAUGAUUCCAUAGAUCCAUAGACCAUAGAUUCACAGUCUAUGAUUUGAGGUCGUUUGUGAAUGAGAUUCAGAACACGUGGCUCUCCUGGUCCUCUGCUCCCCUUCACCUCCGUGUUAGAUAUGGGUGCCUUUGGCGGGGUGGGGUGGGGGGUCUCCUGCUGGAGGGCUCAGGGCCCCACUUUUCUACGGGACAAAAGCCUUCAGAUCAACCUUGUGCCCCUGGGGAGAGGAGUGGUGCCCUCAGGGUGGCCUGGCCUGGGCAGGGAGGGUCUCCUUGCUGGGCUGGGGUGAACAGCAGGUGGAGGGACACAAACUGAGUCAUCCGUGGGACACGAUGCCCCCUUCUCCUGAUGGCCUCCUCCUCCAGCCAGGGGCUCAUCACUGGGGUAUCUGGGUUACCUUGGUUACAACAUGGGAAAAGGAAGUUUUGUGAAUGGCUUCUCCUUGGGUGCUUUCAGACUUAAGAAAUAGCUCCAUCAUUUGUGGCCAGCUUUCUGCUGGCUUCCUUCUGUGAUGAUAGCAGCCGCCAGUUCAACUCAUGACAUGCCUACAUCAGCCAGGCAUUGUGUUAAGAGCUGAAAAUACAGUGGUUAUUCACGCUGGCUGUCCUGGGGGCAGGGGAGCUGACCGUUGAUUUGGGAGAAAGGCACAAGUGUGUGAGUCACCUCCAUAUAAUGAAGUGAGCACUCUUCUUGGAUUAUGACAGAACCAUAGAGGAGAGCCGCCCACCCAGGGCGGGGCGUUCCUGAGAAGGUUCUGGAACAGAGAGGGAGGCUGAGCUGAAUCCUGAUGAAGAAAGGACUUAGCCAGGCUGGAGUGGGUUGUGAGAAGAUCCAAGGGAUGGGGGCACCCAGCUUGGGUCGAGACUACAUUUCCAACAGUGGGAGUUCAGGGUCAGAAGGUGGAAUGACAGCUACAGAAAACUUUCAAUACCAGGUUUUCCCUCCAAGGAAAUCAACGUCCACUGGUGUUCCCCUCUGCAGAGCAUGAGAGUCUUUCUAUCCUCACCUGCCCCUCCACCCGUGUUAUUAAAACUCACUUCCUCCACCUGUGCCAACUCAGUGUUUUGUUUUUUGUUUUUUUUAAAGGUGCACGUGAGGGCCUCUAACCGUCACUGUGAGUUGCAUUUUGGGAGAAACAAAUGGCACCAUGCGGGACGAUAGGGGACCAGGUGUUGCAAAGGCAGUUCUGAGCCCGGAAAGGGCUGACCUGGCGGGAGGGCAGAGAAGAUUGAGCUGAGGAGUGAGCUGGCUGGCUUGUCAGUGAGCACCAAGCCCGGGGACAAGGCCCUUCUUCAUUUCUAGAACCCCCGCCCUGGCCAUGAGGAGCAGGAGGGCCUCCAGAGACCUGGAAGAAUUUGUGGGUGAGGUCCAGGGACAACUGGUAUAUGGUCUGGGCUGGUUUUUGUUCUUCUUUCAAGAGGCAAUCCUGUGGGUUCUUUGCUGACAGCAUCCGGGGCGGGGUUCCAGGAACAGCACGGAGCGGGGUGCAUGCUCUUGGGUGAGCAGAGUCCGCCUCUCCCUUGACUUUGCCUUGGGGUGACUGCAUGUGGCCUUGUGCUCCCAGAUGCAAGGCUGCAUGAUUCCCGAUUGGGGAAGAGAGGCAAAGGGCUGUUAGAGACACGCACCCAGCUGGAGCGAGCGCGGAGGAAAUCUGCCUCCCCCUCAUUCAUACAUUCCCGGGCUUGCAAGGUCGGCACUGGGUGUCGGAUGGGCUGUGUUUCCUUUCACAUUCACCCUUCCUUAGGGACCCUCUGGAAAGUCCCUGCUUCUCCCAUGCUGCCCCCAAGGGGAGCUGCUUCUCUCUGGUUGUUUUGCAUACAGCAGACACCAGGCCUUUCUCCAGACUAUUUAGUGUGUGUGUGUGUGUGUGUGUGUGUGUGUGUGUGUAUUUCCCCAAAAGAGAAAGAAAGAAAAUCGUUUGGUUUACAGUCUGUAGUUACUUGUCUCUGGGUUAGGAUCGCUGGAGGUUGCCCCCGCCUCGCGUCCAGCUUGACUUCCAAGUUUCUGAGGCCACAUUUAGCCCCUACUCCCCACCCCUGAGCUCCUUCAAGGACUGUCAACUCCCUUGAAAUUGACACCCCAGAGAGUUGGAACGGUCCCCACCCCUGAGCUCCUUCAAGGACUGUCAACUCCCUUGAAAUUGACACCCCAGAGAGUUGGAACGGGAAUCCUCACUCCCUGUAAAUUUGGAGUUGUAUUUUGUUGCUGCAGCUUGCUCAUUUCCUGGUUAUUCUCAUGGAUAAUUCCUGGAUUAUCCAUGAAUUGGAUAUAUAUGUAUAGAUAUAUCUUCUUCUUCCCCCCCAAGGCCCUGUUUUUGUGUGUGUCAGGCAUCAUUUCCAGAGAGCCCACACUCCACCUAGAUUCUGUAUUGGUCUCUGCAUGCGGGGUUUAGGGCCGCUGUUACCCAAUUACCACAAACCAGGUGACUUAAAACAACAGAAAUGUAUUGUCUCACAGUUCUGUGAGUCAGAAGCCAGAAGUCAGGGCAUCAGCAGAGUUGGCUUCUUCUGGAGGCUCUGAGGGAGAAUCUGUUCCAUGUCCCUCUCCUUGCUUCUGGUCGUUGCUGGCAACCCGUGGCUUUCCUUGUCUUGUAGAUAUAUCACUCCAGCCUCUGCCUCUGUCUUCAUAUGGUGUUUUCCUCUCUGUAUGUGUCUUUGUGUGUCCUCUCCUUAUAAGGACAAAAGUCACUGGGUUUUAGGGCCCACCCCAAUCCAGUAGGAUCUCACCUUAACUAAUUACAUUUGCAAAGACCCUAUUUCCAAAUAAGGUCACGUUCUGAGGUUCUGGGUAGACAUGGAUUUUCAAAGGUCACCGGUAAACCCACCACAGUCUCUCCACCUUCCGACCCUUCCUUCCACCGAUCCGUCCCAUGCACCUCGCCAGAGCCAUUUUUCUCAAACCUCCUUAGCAGGAGCAACCAACUCUUAUGCCAAAAAUCUCCACUGACUUCCCGCUGCCAACAGAAUAAAGUCCUAUCUCUUUAGCUCAGCUUCAGAAGACUCCCCAUAGUGUUGCUCCAGCGAUCUUUUUCACGUUCCUUUUCUCCACUCUCCUUCACACAUUCUCCAGCUGCAUCUGGAAGGUCUUCUGUGGCGUGGCACAUGCUGUAAAGGGCUCUUGUCUUCUGCUAGGGCCUCUGUCCCUUGCCUAGAUGCUGUCCUUUUCAAGCAUCCAUGUCAUGUCAUAGCCUUUUUUCUCUGAUGAGAACAUCCCUGGCCAGUCGAGAUCAAGGGCUCAGCGCUGACCACAGACCAACUUAGAUGCCACCCCCUUCCUUCCCCCAUCCUCAGUGAUGACCGAUGCUACUCUCUGCCAAGUGGAAUUUUUAUCCAAAGAUAAGCCUGUGUCUAAUACGUCUUUGGGUCUUUGGAUUGGAAAAUGAUGCAUUGAAUCUUGGACUUCUUGGCAAAUGACUGUGGGUGCCGCUGCUGUGAGCACAUGAGGGGGAUGAUUUGAAUCUGAAGCAACCAGGAUGCUCAUGGGUCAGUGCAUGAACUCCAUGCCUAUAGCCCCACUAGGUCUGAAGCAGAUGAAGAUCCCCUGUGCGGAGAGGAAAUGAGGGGAAGGAGAGAAUGGCUGCUGUAUUGAGAGUCAAGGGCAGUGGUCUUUCAAAGGAAGACGUAAGAGAAGCAGAUCCCUAAGGUUGGGUACUGAGGGGCACUGGGCUCAGUGGGAAGGGUUGUAGUGAUAUCCAGCAGGCCCCCUCCCCAUCUUCCCUGAUGGACGGUUGGUGAGCAAGAUGGCAGGUGGGGCAGGGCUAGGGAGGGAGGUAAAAUGGAGACCUAGGGUACAAUGAACAGAAUGGGUUCCAACACCUUUCACUUCCAGCUUUCACAGAUGCCCUGAACACUUGAAAGCAACAAGGAAGUUUUCAUUCCAAAGAGUGAUGCUGGCGUCUUUUUCUAGCCCCUCCCAAGUGGCACUGAUUGACCAUUGACAACUGGCUCUUCAAACUCUCUUCCAAAGCAUUGCAUCUCUGUGGAGACACAUGAGGAAUGUAGUUCAUCUGCAAAGAGCUUCUGAGCUGGACAGACUGGAAUAAGAGAACCCAGCAGAAAUGGAGGGAGAAGCAAGAGGUAAGAUCUCUAGCUGAAACGAGGCUGGGGUGGGGGGGGGGCAGCCUCUAAGACACUCUUCCUGGUGGGUAAGAGCUGAAGUACUCCAGAAAGCCCACCCAAGGAAGUCCCUGACCCCUGGGCACGGGACGGCCCCUUUGGGACUGAUGAAUUCAUCAGGAUUCGGCCAAGUUUGUGUUUCUCAGAGGGACCAUGGCCAACCUCUGGUGCAUAACUGUCUAUGAGUGGAGACUGGAUCUUGAGCAGAGAAAAAGUACUGUGGGCUCUGGAGCAAGGAGAACCCCCAAAGAUAUGGGAUGGAGUCCGGCAUUUCUGGGAGCUGGAGCAGGCCUGGGUGGGAAAUGCCAGUCAGUGGGUGGCAUGGUGUUACGAAGUUACUUCUUCCCAGAACUUCUGAGACAUUGAAUUCAUUUCUAGAAUUUCUGUCCUAAAACCAUGAGUUAAAUGUUCUGUGUUUUUUGUUUUUGUCUUUUUGUUUUGUUUUGUUUUGUUUCUCACCCAGUUAAGCACAGGAGUUUGAUAAUGGCCAUCAGGUAAUGUGUUUGGAAAUCUGGUCUGCGAAGACCAACAUCAUUAUAUUUUAAAGCGCUGACGUGUAUCUAAAUGGCUAUAUUUUCAGAUGAGCUUGAGUAUGAUUUGUCAAGAUCUAUAAUGUCGCCAUGAGAACUGUAACCACAUCAAACCUAUGGAUUCACUGGGGAAGUGAAGCCAUUGUUGUUGGAUCUAGCGUUUUCAAUUCAGAGCAGCUUGCGUAGAAAGGCAGAAGGUAGUGGUUAAGAACACAACCUCUGAGCCUCGCUGCCUGGGUUGGGGUCUCUACUUUGCCUCUCUGGCCUUGGGCAAGAGCCUUAAGAUUUCUGUCCCUCAGGUUCCUCAUCUGUAAAAUGGGGAUUAAUCCCAGGGUUAUUGUGAAGAUCAGGUAAGUUAAUAGAUGUAAAAUAUAUAGAACAGUGCUUGGCAUGUACUAAGGACUCAAACGUUAGCUACUAUUAUUAUUUCUAAUUUUAUUUUAUUUCAGUUCUUUAAAAACUGCAUUCCAUUUUUGUGGAUUCUGCAAUGCUUAUUUUAUUAUUUUAUUUUAUUUUAUUUUAUUUUAUUUUAUUUUAUUUUAUUUUAUUUUAUUAAGGAAAACUUACUCCUUCCUUUUUUUCUGACCUGACAGCAUGCCCAGGAAACAAGGUGGUUUGUUUUGGGGCUGAGGAUUCUGGAAAGAUGUUAGGAACAAUACACGGGAAUGUAAUUUUUCAGUAUCCCUAAUCUACGCUCAGCCUUAAGCCCUGUGCCCUUUACAAUGGUGUGAGCUUGGUAAAUCAUCGAUAAAUAAUUUCAAUACAUUCACCAAAAUCAUUUUUGGUUGUUUCUAGGUCCAGAGUCUGGGAAAAUGUCAUUGGAAAGUAGCUAGCAUGGAAAUGUGAGUUUCCCUCCCUCUACUAUUCUGAUAUUCUCAGGAGCUGGGAAGCUGGCAUAAAAAAUAGUCAAGGUUUUAAAGCUGCAAUGGACUAUAUUCUGUUUCUUUCAAAAUUCUUUUCACAUCCUCCCUGGCAGAGAGGCCUGCCUGCUUUCCUAUCAACACUGAAGAAUGUAUAGCAGCAUCUAUAUAUACAGCCUGAGGUGUGCUCCCAGAGCCUGAUGGUUGGAGCUGCCUCCCUGGCUCUUUCUUCCAAUUGAUGGAAUGGUGUCUGUAAAAAUGUUUUGAAAAUAUGAAAAGUGGCAAAUUGGCCUUCAUGACAAAUAGAACUUAAUGUAACAUAUUUUACACGUUAAAUCUCCACGAACAAAAGCGAUCUCUAAUGUUUUCUUUCUCAGGGCAAAUUUCUUGGCAUUUACAUACCUUCAGUGUUUUACUGUGAUCCUGGCUGGUGGCGGGGGGAGUUAUCAUAAUAAAUAAAACAGCUUUCACCUGUA